GCUAUAAAAUUAUUACUUAAAUUAAAAAAAAAAUCCCAUAAACUUUCACCUUUCUUCUAUCAAAGUAGUCCCAAACCAAGAGUUGAAGAGGUAACUAUGGCGAACCCAGAAGCAAAGCUCGAAACUUUCUUGCAGUGGCUCCAGGUUUGUUAACAUGAUUUGUAAUUGACGGCAGAAGUGAAUAAACAUAUUAAGCUUUGAUUCCUAUGGUGAAUUUUCAAAAUGGGAUUAUGUUGGUUGUUCCACUAGAGUUAGCAAUUACUCCCAUGAGGGUGUUGCAAGAUCCUUUUCUAGGACCAGAAUGUAGAGCAUUGUUUGAAGAAGGAGAUGUAGAUGACAGGUUCUUAAUGAUGCUGUUUUUGACCGUGGAGCGUUUGCGUAAGGGUUCUCUAUGGAAGCCGUACCUUGAUAUGCUGCCAACCACUUUCGGAAAUACACUUUGGUUUAGUGAAGAAGAACUUCAAGAGCUGAGAGGAACUAACUUGUAUCGUGCAACUGAGUUACAGAAGAAAAGCCUGUUGAAUUUAUAUGAAACUAAAGUGGAGGAUUUAGCGAAGAAACUUUUGAAUCUUGACGGAGAUUCUGAGAUUGAGGUGUGCUUUGAAGAUUUCCUGUGGGCAAAUUCAGUUUUUUGGAGCCGUGCUUUGAAUAUUCCAAUGCCUCGUUCUUAUGUAUUUCCUGAGAUGCAAGAUGUUCAUCAAAGUGGCACUCCAGAAGCUGAUAAAAAGGUGAGGUUACACAAUCGGAUGAUCUAACCAAGGAAACGACACAUAGCACAGUGCACGGAGACACCGUUUGGGUUGAGGGUCUUGUCCCUGGUAUUGACUUUUGCAACCAUGAUUUGAAGCCAAUAGCAACAUGGGAAGUUGAUGGAAUUGGCUUAACAACAGGAGUUCCAGUCUCGAUGUAUCUUCUUUCCG